rnacentral:rRNA from 1 species
UUCCGUAGGUGAACCUGCGGAAGGAUCAUUCAU